GGCGAACGGGUGAGUAAUACUUAGGAAUCUGCCCAAUAGUGGGGGACAACCCGGGGAAACCCGGGCUAAUACCGCAUACGCUCUACGGAGGAAAGCAGGGGAUCUUCGGACCUUGCGCUAUUGGAUGAGCCUAAGUCGGAUUAGCUUGUUGGUGGGGUAAAGGCCUACCAAGGCGACGAUCCGUAGCUGGUCUGAGAGGACGAUCAGCCACACUGGGACUGAGACACGGCCCAG
rnacentral:rRNA from 1 species